CACCGGGAUGUUCAUAACCCUUUGUUGUCCGACUCUGUUGCCUCCGGGGCGACCCUGCCUUCGGGCGGGGGCUCCGGGUGGACACUUCAAACUCUUGCGUAACUUUGCAGUCUGAGUAAACUUAAUUAAUAAAUUAAAACUUUUAACAACGGAUCUCUUGGUUCUGGCAUCGAUGAAGAACGCAGCGAAAUGCGAUAAGUAAUGUGAAUUGCAGAAUUCAGUGAAUCAUCGAAUCUUUGAACGCACAUUGCGCCCCCUGGUAUUCCGGGGGGCAUGCCUGUUCGAGCGUCAUUUCACCACUCAAGCCUCGCUUGGUAUUGGGCAACGCGGUCCGCCGCGUGCCUCAAAUCGACCGGCUGGGUCUUCUGUCCCCUAAGCGUUGUGGAAACUAUUCGCUAAAGGGUGCUCGGGAGGCUACGCCGUAAAACAAACCCAUUUCUAAGGUUGACCUCGGAUCAGGUAGGGAUACCCG
rnacentral:rRNA from 1 species